rnacentral:rRNA from 1 species
UACGUAGGGUCCGAGCGUUAUCCGGAUUUACUGGGCGUAAAGCGCGUUCAGGCGGUUUGGCAAGUCGGGCAUGAAAUCUCUCGGCUCAACCGGGAGAGGUUGUCCGAUACUGCUGGACUUGAGGGCAGUAGAGGGUGGUGGAAUUCCGGGUGUAGUGGUGAAAUGCGUAGAUAUCCGGAGGAACACCAGUGGCGAAAGCGGCCACCUGGACUGCACCUGACGCUGACACGCGAAAGCUAGGGGAGCGAACGGG